rnacentral:rRNA from 1 species
UUGGAAUUCCUGGUGUAGCGGUGGAAUGCGCAGAUAUCAGGAGGAACACCGAUGGCGAAGGCAGAUCUCUGGGCCGUAACUGACGCUGAGGAGCGAAAGGGUGGGGAGCAAACAGGCUUAGAUACCCUGGUAGUCCACCCCGUAAACGUUGGGAACUAGUUGUGGGGUCCAUUCCACGGAUUCCGUGACGCAGCUAACGCAUUAAGUUCCCCGCCUGGGGAGUACGGCCGCAAGGCUAAAACUCAAAGGAAUUGACGGGGACCCGCACAAGCGGCGGAGCAUGCGGAUUAAUUCGAUGCAACGCGAAGAACCUUACCAAGGCUUGACAUAUACGAGAACGGGCCAGAAAUGGUCAACUCUUUGGACACUCGUAAACAGGUGGUGCAUGGUUGUCGUCAGCUCGUGUCGUGAGAUGUUGGGUUAAGUCCCGCAACGAGCGCAACCCUCGUUCUAUGUUGCCAGCACGUAAUGGUGGGAACUCAUGGGAUACUGCCGGGGUCAACUCGGAGGAAGGUGGGGAUGACGUCAAAUCAUCAUGCCCCUUAUGUCUUGGGCUUCACGCAUGCUACAAUGGCCGGUACAAAGGGCUGCAAUACCGUGAGGUGGAGCGAAUCCCAAAAAGCCGGUCCCAGUUCGGAUUGAGGUCUGCAACUCGACCUCAUGAAGUCGGAGUCGCUAGUAAUCGCAGAUCAGCAACGCUGCGGUGAAUACGUUCCCGGGUCUUGUACACACCGCCCGUCAAGUCAUGAAAGUCGGUAACACCUGAAGCCGGUGGCCUAACCCUUGUGGAGGGAGCCGUCGAAUGUGAUUCGAAAUGGGU